GAUGAACGCUGGCGGCGUGCCUAAUACAUGCAAGUCGAACGCAUUGUGGUUGAAAUGAUAUGAAGAACUUGUUCAGAUUUGAUUUUCAACAUUGCAAUGAGUGGCGAACGGGUGAGUAACACGUGGGAAACCUACCUCUUAGCAGGGGAUAACAUUUGGAAACAAAUGCUAAUACCGUAUAAUAAUUAAAACCGCAUGGUUUUAGUUUAAAAGAUGGUCUUGCUAUCACUAAGAGAUGGUCCCGCGGUGUAUUAGUUAGUUGGUGAGGUAAUGGCUCACCAAGACAAUGAUACAUAGCCGAGUUGAGAGACUGACCGGCCACAAUGGGACUGAGACACGGCCCAUACUCCUACGGGAGGCAGCACGUAGGGAAGUCUUCCACAAUGGACGAAAGUACUGAUGGAGCAACGCCGCGUGUGUGAUGAAGGGUUUCGGCUCGUAAAACACUGUUGUAAGAGAAGAAUGACAUUGAGAGUAACUGUUC
rnacentral:rRNA from 1 species